rnacentral:tRNA from 1 species
GCAGGUGUCGCCUAGCGGUAUGGCGGCAGCUUCCCAAGCUGUUCCCGGCGGGUUCGACUCCCGUCGCCUGCUCCA